GAAAAGCUACGAAGGGUGUGCGACGGAUGCCUAGGGACAGGUGGCCGAUGAAGGACGCGCAAGCGGCGAAACGCCCCGGGGAGCUGCACAGAAGUGUUGAUCCGGGGGUGUCCGAAUGGGGAAACCCGGCGAGGGUAAUGCCUCGUCAGUCAUAGCUGAAUACAUAGGUUAUGGCAGGGAACCGGCCGAACUGAAACAUCUAAGUAAGCCGAGGAAAAGAACUCGAAGAGAUUCCGUAAGUAGCGGCGAGCGAAAGCGGAAGAGCCUAAACCCUAAUGCUUGCAUUAGGGGGUUGUGGGACCGCGUAAAGCGACAAUAGGUUAGUGGAACAUUUCUGGAAAGUUGGACCACAGCGGGUGACAGUCCCGUACACGAAAGCCGAAGAUAGCUGGCGGUAUCCCGAGUAGCGCGGAGCACGAGGAAUUCUGCGUGAAUCUAUCCGGACCACCGGAUAAGGCUAAAUACCGCCUGUCACCGAUAGUGCAACCAGUACCGUGAGGGAAAGGUGAAAAGUACCCAGGGAAUGGGGGUGAAAUAGUUCCUGAAAUCGCAUCACCCACAAACAGUCAGAGCGCUAUGCUUUGAGCAAUCGAAGAAUGCGUGAUGGCGUGCCUUUUGCAGAAUGAGCCUGCGAGUUGUUUGUGCCGGCAAGGUUAAGCGGUUGAGCCGCGGAGCCGGAGGGAAACCGAGUCUGAAUAGGGCGUCUAGUCGGUACAAGCAGACCCGAAACUGCGUGAUCUAGCCAUGGCCAGGCUGAAGUGGGGGUAACACCUCAUGGAGGGCCGAACUCAUUGACGUUGAAAAGUCUCGGGAUGAGCUGUGGUUAGUCCGGUGAAAUGCCAAUCGAACGCAGAGAUAGCUGGUUCUCCCCGAAAUGCAUUUGGGUGCAGCGUUACGUGUUUUCCUAUGGAGGUAGAGCACUGAAUGGGCUAGGGGCCCUACCAGGUUACCGAACCCAAUCAAACUCCGAAUGCCAUAGGAUUAGCGUAGCAGUGAGACGGCGAGUGCUAAGAUCCGUCGUCAAAAGGAAAACAAUCCAGAUCAGCAGCUAAGGGCCCUAAAUCACCGCUAAGUGUAAAACGAUGUGAGAUCGCGUAAACAGCCAGGAGGUUGGCUUGGAGGCAGCCACCCUUUAAAAAGUGCGUAACAGCUUACUGGCCGAAUGUGGUCUUGCGCGGACAAUGUAAGGGGGCUCAAGCGGUGUCCCGAAGCUCUGGGUUUCCGAGAAAUCGGAAGCGGUAGGGGAGCGUCGUAUUUGCAGUGAAGAUAGAGCGUGAGCACUGUUGGAGCGAAUACGAGUGAGAAUGCAGGCAUGAGUAGCGAGAACACAGGUGAGAAUCCUGUGCGCCGAAAACCUAAGGUUUCCCCCGCCAUGUUCGUCAGCGGGGGGUUAGGCGAGUCCUAAGGUGAGGCCGGAAGGCGUAGCCGAUGGAUAGACGGUUGAUAUUCCGUCCCCGGACGAAGGUUGUCAAGAGGGACGCUUCCAAACGUUCCAUCCCACACUGUUGGUAGUUGUGGGCCCGAAGCGGGCGUGGCACGGUGAAAACGUGCAUGAUCGCUCGCCAGGGGCAAGUGGAUUCUUCGGAUGAAGCGAACUGGAAUAGAUGGGGGCCGAGAAAAGCUCUGACGACAUUAACCUUCGCCCGCUCGUACCGCAAUCCGACACAGGUAGGUGAGUCGAGGAGACUUAGGCGUUCGAGAGAACUCCGGUCAAGGAACUAGGCAAACGAGCCCCGUAACUUCGGAAUAAGGGGCGCCUCGGUGCUGAGCCGAGGCCGCAGCGAAGCAGCCCAGGCGACUGUUUACCAAAAACACAGGUCUCUGCUAAGGCGAAAGCCGAUGUAUAGGGGCUGACGCCUGCCCAAUGCCAGUAGGUUAUGAAUGGCGGCCGUAACUCUAACGGUCCUAAGGUAGCGAAAUUCCUUGUCGGCUAAAUACCGACCCGCAUGAAAGGCGUAACGACUUGGGCACUGUCUCGACCGGAAGCUCGGUGAAAUUGUAGCACCCGCGAAGAUGCGGGUUCCCCGCAGUAGGACGGAAAGACCCCGUGGAGCUUUACUACACCUUACGAUUGUGUUUUGGAUUGUAAUGUAGAGCGUAGGUGGGAGCUUCGGCACCAAUGGAACACCACCCUUUGCACUCUGGAACACUAACCUGUGCCCUCAUCGGGUAUGGAGACAGUCGUUGGCGGGUAGUUUGACUGGGGCGGUCGCCUCCAAAAAGGUAACGGAGGCGUUCAAAGGUACUCUCAGGCUGGUCGGAAAUCAGCCAUCGAGCGUAAUGGUAUAGAGAGUGCUUGACUGUGAGACAUACAGGUCGAGCAGGGACGAAAGUCGGACAUAGUGACCCUCUGGUGGUGCGUGGGCACGCCAGGGUUCAUCGGAUAAAAGCUACCCCGGGGAUAACAGGCUGAUCUUGCCCGAGCGCUCACAGCGACGGCAUGGUUUGGCACCUCGAUGUCGGCUCGUCACAUCCUGGGGCUGAAUUCGGUCCCAAGGGUUCCGGGGUUCACGGAUUAAAGUGGCACGCGAGCUGGGUUCAGAACGGCGUGAGCCAGUUCGGUCCCUAUCCACUGCGGGCGCAAGAGAUUUGAGGGGAGUCGCUCCUAGUACGAGAGGACCGGAGUGAACUGACCUCUGGUGUACCUGUUGUGCCGCCAGGCGCAGACGCAGGGUAGCCAAGUCGGGCAGUGAUAAGCGCUGAAAGCAUCUAAGCGCCAAGCACACCCCAAGAUUAGAUCUCUCACACGGUCAACGUGGUAAGAGCCCCAGAAGACUACUGGGUCGAUAGGCCGCAAUUGUAAGCACGGUAACGUGUUGAGAUAAGCGGUACUAAUAGCUCGAGGGCUUUUUUGA
rnacentral:rRNA from 1 species